GCUGCAUUGGCGGGAUUUCGCCGUCUACGUUUCUCUUUCUUCGCGGACGAACACGCGCUGGGCCUGCAUGCGGCAGGAUCCGGGGUCCUUAACGGGAUAUGCGUUAGGGGCUUGUAGCUCAGUUGGUUAGAGCGCGCGCUUGAUAAGCGUGAGGUCGGAAGUUCAAGUCUUCCCAGGCCCACCAGCCUUCGCUCGUCGCUGCGUAGGCUGCGCAAGCCCACUGGGCGAAGGCGGCUGGGCGCGAGCUUCGGCUCGGCAAGCCUAGAGUACGAGCAUUCGUCUUCUGGUUACGGGGCCAUAGCUCAGCUGGGAGAGCGCGUGCUUUGCAAGCAUGAGGUCGUCGGUUCGAUCCCGUCUGGCUCCACCAGAUGGUUUGAUAAUCGACUGAUCGUGCACCGUCGUCCGCGAAACAUCACUUCGCAUCCUGUUAGUCUGGAUAGACAGCAAGAUGCGUGUUUUCUGACAUCGUAAAGAGGAGAUCGAUCCGAGUUGGGUCGUGUAGCAGAUUGCUGCGCGUAUCCUUCAUUAUCUCCGGAUCA
rnacentral:tRNA from 1 species